rnacentral:rRNA from 1 species
AACGAACGCUGGCGGCAGGCCUAACACAUGCAAGUCGAGCGCCCUUUCGGGGGAGCGGCGGACGGGUGAGUAACGCGUGGGAAUAUGCCCUUCUUUACGGAAUAGCCUCGGGAAACUGAGAGUAAUACCGUAUACGCCCUUUGGGGGAAAGAUUUAUCGGGGAAGGAUUAGCCCGCGUUGGAUUAGGUAGUUGGUGGGGUAAUGGCCUACCAAGCCGACGAUCCAUAGCUGGUUUGAGAGGAUGAUCAGCCACACUGGGACUGAGACACGGCCCAGACUCCUACGGGAGGCAGCAGUGGGGAAUCUUAGACAAUGGGGGCAACCCUGAUCUAGCCAUGCCGCGUGAGUGAUGAAGGCCUUAGGGUUGUAAAGCUCUUUCAGCUGGGAAGAUAAUGACGGUACCAGCAGAAGAAGCCCCGGCUAACUCCGUG